rnacentral:rRNA from 1 species
UACAGAGGUGGCAAGCGUUGUUCGGAAUUACUGGGCGUAAAGGGCUCGUAGGCGGUUUGUCGCGUCGGGAGUGAAAACACCGGGCUUAACUCGGUGCUUGCUUUCGAUACGGGCAGACUAGAGGUAUGCAGGGGAGAACGGAAUUCCUGGUGUAGCGGUGAAAUGCGCAGAUAUCAGGAGGAACACCGGUGGCGAAGGCGGUUCUCUGGGCAUUACCUGACGCUGAGGAGCGAAAGUGUGGGGAGCGAACAGG